CCCGCUGAACUUAAGCAUAUCAAUAAGCGGAGGAAAAGAAACCAACAGGGAUUGCCUCAGUAACGGCGAGUGAAGCGGCAAGAGCUCAAAUUUGAAAGCUGGCCCCCUCGGGGUCCGCAUUGUAAUUUGCAGAGGAUGCUUCGGGAGCGGCCCCCAUCUAAGUGCCCUGGAACGGGCCGUCAUAGAGGGUGAGAAUCCCGUCUGGGAUGGGGUGUCCGCGCCCGUGUGAAGCUCCUUCGACGAGUCGAGUUGUUUGGGAAUGCAGCUCUAAAUGGGUGGUAAAUUUCAUCUAAAGCUAAAUACUGGCCGGAGACCGAUAGCGCACAAGUAGAGUGAUCGAAAGAUGAAAAGCACUUUGAAAAGAGAGUUAAACAGCACGUGAAAUUGUUGAAAGGGAAGCGCUUGCGACCAGACUCGCUCGCGGGGUUCAGCCGGCAUUCGUGCCGGUGUACUUCCCCGCGAGCGGGCCAGCGUCGGUUUGGGCGGCCGGUCAAAGGCCCUCGGAAUGUAACGCCCCCCGGGGCGUCUUAUAGCCGAGGGUGCCAUGCGGCCAGCCCGGACCGAGGAACGCGCUUCGGCUCGGACGCUGGCAUAAUGGUCGUAAGCGACCCGUCUUGAA
rnacentral:rRNA from 1 species